rnacentral:rRNA from 1 species
AUGCACAAUUUAUCAUGGAUCCAUCCUAAAUGGCCAUCUAAUAAGCAACAUAUGUUUGCCCAAACUUUAUGUUGCAACGUCCCAAAUUGCUAUUAUAUAGUACCAAUAAUGAGGGAUGAGAAAAUAAAGAAUGAAGUCAUGGAAAUACCUCAAGUAAAUAAUCCAAAAUAUUAUUCUGUAUUCCUUCUCGAGAAACUGGCUUCUUCUUCAAUUAAAAAAAUAAAUCAUAUUUCUUGUUCAGUUGGAGCGUUCGCAAUAGUAGAACUUUCUUCAGGAUUAUUUGUAGAGAUGUACGGAAUUUCUUUAUCUACAGAUUAA